CGAGGGAGGAGGAGGAGGAGGAGGUGGUGGGGGUACGAACUUCACACGCGGGCAGUCCCAGCUUUUGAUCUCGUCACGGUCGAUGUUCACAUCACCGCACCACCGGGUCACGCACUUGUGAGGUCGAGUCGACACAGGGCCGUCUUACAACAUUCGCCGUCACCUGUGAGGAUGAUGUCUCGGUGGCCCGCGAGAGCCUCAGAGUCGAGGCCGCUGCUCCUCCGGAUCGAGAGGAGCCGGUUGAGGUGGUUCGGGCCCGCCCCCGCACAAGCGGACUGAGAGACGGUGUACUGGUCGUGAGCGGGAAUGGAACUCGGGUGGCCGGGUUCGACCGAGGCGGCGGUGUGGCUCACCGCCACAGCAGUUGCUUCUCGACCUUACGUUUGCUUACUGCUACUACUGAAUUGAGUUUUAAACCGAGUAACCCACCUCGCCUGACCCAACGUGCUUCUGGGAAAUGAAUGUGCGCAGAAUGAACAUCGAUAGUUGAGAAUAGGUUUUCUCCUUUUUUCUGGCAACAAAACUGCUGCGUUAAGAUGUUAAGGCACCAAACUGAAACCUUUCACAAGGAAUCAUGUCUGCAUU